UACGGGGGGGGCAAGCGUUGUUCGGAAUUACUGGGCGUAAAGGGCUCGUAGGCGGCCAACUAAGUCAGACGUGAAAUCCCUCGGCUUAACCGGGGAACUGCGUCCGAUACUGGCAGGCUUGAAUCCGGGAGAGGGAUGCGGAAUUCCAGGUGUAGCGGUGAAAUGCGUAGAUAUCUGGAGGAACACCGGUGGCGAAGGCGGCAUCCUGGACCGGCAUUGACGCUAAAGCGCGAAAGCCAGGGGAGCGAACGGG
rnacentral:rRNA from 1 species